CAGGCCUAACACAUGCAAGUCGAGGGGCAGCGGGUGUAGCAAUACAUGCCGGCGACCGGCGAAAGGGUGAGUAACGCGUGAGCAACAUGCCCGGAGGAGGGGGAUAGUCAUUGGAAACGAUGCGUAAUACCCCGUAACAUAAGUCAUCGCAUGGUGAUUUAUUGAAAGAUUCAUUGUCUCCGGAUUGGCUCGCGUGCCAUUAGGCAGUUGGCGGGGUAACGGCCCACCAAACCGACGAUGGCUAGGGGUUCUGAGAGGAAGGUCCCCCACAUUGGAACUGAGACACGGACCAGACUCCUACGGGAGGCAGCAGUGAGGAAUGUUGGACAAUGGGCGGAAGCCUGAACCAGCCAAGUAGCGUGGAGGAUGACGGCCCUACGGGUUGUAAACUCCUUUAGCGCGGGAAUAACAGUCGCCACGUGUGGCGUUUUGCAGGUACCGCGAGAAUAAGGACCGGCUAAUUCCGUGCCAGCAGCCGCGGUAAUACGGAAGGUUCGAGCGUUAUCCGGAUUUAUUGGGUUUAAAGGGAGCGCAGGCGGGACGUUAAGUCAGCCGUUAAAGUUCGGGGCCCAACCCCGUGUUGCGGUUGAAACUGGUGUCCUUGAGUCGCAAGAGGCCGGUGGAAUUCGUGGUGUAGCGGUGAUAUGCAUAGAUAUCACGAGGAACUCCGAUUGCGAAGGCAGCCGGCUGGGGCGCGACUGACGCUCAUGCUCGAAGGCGCGGGUAUCAAACAGGAUUAGAUACCCUGGUAGUCCGCGCGGUAAACUAUGGACGCCCGCGGUGUGGCCAUUUUGGUUGCACCGCCGAGCGAAAGCGUUAAGCGUCCCACCUGGGGAGUACGCCGGCAACGGUGAAACUCAAAGGAAUUGACGGGGGCCCGCACAAGCGGAGGAACAUGUGGUCUAAUUCGAUGAUACGCGAGGAACCUUACCCGGGCUCAAACGCAUGGCGCCAGACCCUGAAAGGGGUUGUUCUUCGGACGUCAUGCGAGGUGCUGCAUGGUUGUCGUCAGCUCGUGCCGUGAGGUGUCGGCUUAAGUGCCAUAACGAGCGCAACCCCCAUCUUCAGUUGCCAUCGGGUGAAGCCGGGCACUCUGGAGAGACUGCCGGCGCAAGCUGUGAGGAAGGCGGGGAUGACGUCAAAUCAGCACGGCCCUUACGUCCGGGGCGACACACGUGUUACAAUGGCGGGGCUACAGCGGGGAGCCAGGCGGCGACGCCGAGCUGAUCCCGAAAACCCGUCUCAGUUCGGAUCGGAGUCUGCAACCUGACUCCGUGAAGCUGGAUUCGCUAGUAAUSGSGCAUCAGCCAUGGCGCGGUGAAUACGUUCCCGG
rnacentral:rRNA from 1 species